AUUGAACGCUGGCGGCAGGCCUAACACAUGCAAGUCGAGCGAGCGGCGGACGGGUGAGUAAUGUAUGGGGAUCUGCCUGAUGGAGGGGGAUAACUACUGGAAACGGUAGCUAAUACCGCAUACCAUCAGAUGACCCCAUUGGGGAUUAGCUUGUCGGUGGGGUAACGGCUCACCUGGGCGACGAUCCCGACCUGGUCUGAGAGGAUGACCAGCCACCCUGGGACGGUGACACGGUCCAGACUCCGACGAGAGGCAGCAGGGGGGAAGAUUGCACAAUGGGGGAAAGCAUGAUGCAGCCAUGCCGCGGGUGUGAAGACGGCCUUCGGGUUGUAAAGUACUUGUAGUCGGGAGGCGUUACCUACAGAAGAAGCACCGGCUAACUCCGUGCCAGCAGCCGCGGUAAUUC
rnacentral:rRNA from 1 species